GAGGAACUAACUUGAGGUCAUGAGCCAAGAGAAUAGAGAGUACACAGUGGUUAGAAGUGAAGAAAGAUGUGUGAAUUGUUAGAUAAGCUGAUAGAGAGUACACAGUGGUUAGAAUUGAAGAAAGAUAUGUGAAUUGUUAGAUAAGUUGUUAAAUGAGUCAUAUGAGAAAGUGGAACACGAUGAAUAAUGGUAAGAAUUUUUAGCGAUUUGCAUUGUAAUCAGUAAACAAGCAUUUGUUGUGUUUAAUUUUCAUUGUAAAAUAAAUAUUCUUUUAUUUUUUAAAAUUUUCUGGUAGAAUUAAGCCUAUUUAAAAUUUGGACAAAUAUUGUAUUAGAUUUUCUUGGGUUCUUUUUCUUUUCCGUCUUAUUUUUCUGUCCAAUUUCUCUUGUGCCUUCUCUUGGAUUUCUUCCACGUGUUAUUCUUAGUUUGUAACAAUUAGGUGACAGAUACUUUUUUAUUUAGUACAUGAAUUGUGACGAGCAUUAAAGAAUGGAUGACGUUAUUCGGUUAUAUGUAAUUAAACCACUGUUGUCUGUUUUUCUUUUCUUGCUUCGCAAAUAAUCCACUGUGAGAGAUAUACCAUAAUCAUUUAAGUUAGAUGUGGACAAUGACUGCACAUGCUAACUACUUCUUGGGGCCGUGUUUGUAACAAUUAGGUGACAAAUACUUGUUUAUUUAGUCCAUGAAUUGUGACAAGCAUUAAAGAAUGGAUGACGUUAUUCGGUUAUAUGUAAUUAGAAGUAGGGUUUAUGUGAAAAUCAUUAUUAACUGUGUUUGGUGAUAAGGUUGUACAAGAUUAGAUUUAUUGAGUUGCUGAAUAUAAUUGUAUGCGUUUGUGUGAUAAGGUUGUACAAGAUUAGAUUUAUUGAGUAACUGAAUAUAAUUGUAUGUGUUUGUGUGAUAAGGUUGUACAAGAUUAGAUUUAUUGAGUAGCUGAAUAUAAUUGUAUGUACAACUUGGAAAUGGAAUUAUGGUGGAUAAACAUAUAUUUACUCGACUCAUUGAAAUUUGGUAUUAUGAAAUUAUGAUGUAAAUUAUGAUGUAUAAACAAGUAUUUACUUGAGUCAUUGAGAUUUGGCUUUAUAAAAUCAUGGUGGAUAAACAGAUAUUUAUUUGACUUAUUGAGAUUUGUUAUUAUGAAAUUUGGUAACCAAAUCCUCUUCCUAUUUAAGGACCAAAUUUUGCCAAAGAAGUUAACUAAAUUCUACAAAAGAAGUUAAUUGAUUCAACUGUGAUCAGGACAUGUUCAUGCAACUGUGAUAAAGACAUGUUCAAUCGCUCCCUAUCUUAAAAAAAGCCGCCUAUGCAUCUCUGUCUUUCACAGCUUCACAGCUUCAGCAAGAGACUUCCCUUCCUCUACACUCACAUCUCGAAUGUCCACUAAAUCAUAUUUAUUCCCUAGAGACUUCCCUUCCUCUAUACUCACUUCUCGAAUGUCCAUUAAAUCACAUUUAUUCCCAACCAAUAUUCUUGCAACAGUUGCAUCAGAAUGAGCUUUAUAACACGUAUUUAUGUAUUGUUGUGCUCUCUCCAUUUUCAAAAGGAACAACUACUUCAUUACAUUCAUCUUAUUUGUUCUAGAGGGUUGUUAACAAAUGGUUAUUCCAAAGAUUGCCAAAGCUCUGCUGAUGUUUUACAUUCGCAUACAUCAAACAAUAUUGAAGAUGAAAGGUAAGGUUUAACGGCUACCAAAUAUUUUGUAAAGGAUAUAUCAUUCACAAUAUUCCAUUACCACUAAUAAUGCUUAAGUGUCUUGUUAUUUUUAACAAGAUAAUCAUCAUCAUCUUCUAGAUUAGCCAGAUACUUUCAUUUAUUUUCUCAAACUCUAUUGGCUUCUCUAUUUAAUACAGUACUACAUUCGGUGACCUUCACCCACAAGAGAACAAUGCAAACCUCUAUAUAUUGAUUCAAUAGAGAUUACAGUAAAUACAAGGCCCAAAAGACUUCAAGAAAGGAACUUUCUCUUUCUCCAAAGUCCCACUUACAACAAGAACAACGCUGCCAAUUUUAAAAGGUUCUUCUUUCAUACUUUCUCACUCUAAAACAGGACAUGUACCCACAACAAGAGAACACCCAUUUUCACUCACUUUCCCUAUCUAAAACAAAAGGCUUUUCACUCCCUUUUCUAAGAAAAGUGUCCCAAUGAUUCAUUACAUCACCAUCAUUUGAUUAAUAUUCAAUCCAAUGGUUCAAAAUAAUGCAGGUAAAGUCAAAUAAUAAGUACACAUAUAUGACAACAAAAAUAUACAUGCGAUUUGGCUUUACGCAUAUAACAUUAUGACGAUCCGAUGAAAUGAUGUACGUCCAUGCGGAGAGAAUGGGCCUCUAUCCAAGUAAUGUUGGUGGGCCCAUCCUUUAUGUAAAACCAUUCAUCACUUCCUCUCAAGCCCCAAGAUGGACUACGGAUCGGUAGUGUACAUUCCUCAAAAUGAUCAACGUAGGCUAUAAACUAAAGCAAGCUAUAAAUCUCUCUCAUAAGUUAUGUGGCUACCCCUACUAGCUUCUUUGAUCAAAACCUUCUAUACUCUCUCUCUCCAUUCAACAUUAUUAUCUCCAAGCUGUACUGAAAAUUACAACUCCAAAAAUACUACAAAUCAAGCAUUUAUUAGCACUUUGAUUGUCCACUACAUGUGAUAUUAUAUGGAUAACUACAACUUUAUGACUGAAAAGGGACUAGGGUAGUGACGUAGCACCCCUACACUUUAGUUACCGUAUUGUAGUUUUCAUUCUUACUUACACGACUCGGAUUGACUUUAAAAUAAAAACUUUUAAACUAUUUAAAAAAAUGGGUAGCGACCUGUCUUUCUUACUUAAAUACCCAAAACAACAAAAACUACAACUUUGCCAUGAGCUAUCAUUCUUGAUUGAAAAAAUGGGUAGGGCCUUGUCUUCCCCACUUAAAUACCCAAAAAAAACAUUCUUGAUUUGCCCAGUGCUUCCUCUCUCACCUUUCUCCUUUUUAUCCUAUUCAUGAGAUGUGCUUGAUCCAAGAUAUAUAUAUAUAUUUAUUGGUUUUUAUAUUUUAGCAUUUUCGUUUUUUUGUUUUUUUACAAUAUUGUUUAUCUUUUUAUUUUUUUGUACAUUUUCCUUUUGGACAGAUUGGUUUGUAACAUGAGAAACAAACUCCAAAGAGCGAACCUUUGACUUCCCUUUGUUCCUGUUUUUUACCUUGUCGCUUCAUACUCUUCUUGUUUUCUAUAGUUUAUCGUGAGAUGAAGGGAAUAUCAUUUAAUUUAAUUAGUUUGGAUUCUUGCGUUUUUAUCUGGAUGAACCAGAAAAUUUUAGGUAGAGCCUGAUAAAUAUUGUACACGGUUUCUAUGAGUCCAAGAACGCACAUUAGAAAUGCAGGCCCCUUAAUAAUUUAUUUUAGAAAUAGAACUCAAUCUUAAUUUUUAGGAAAUAUAAUCUUUAACAUGUAGAUUAUUAAUAUUAUCAUAUUCUCGUUAAAAACUACAAAUGAUAUUUUUUGGAGAAAAUAUUUGAACCGUUAAUUUUACUUUUUAUUUGGAAGACUGUUAUUUAUGGUGUAGAUCUACACUUUCUUUGGUGGAUGGUACAGAUGUCCAAGACUGCAUAGUGAUGGUACAGAUGUCCAAGACUGCAUAGUAACAGGUGCGGGCUUGGAUGCACCAAACAAUUCUCUUUUUAAGAAUGGAAAAGUAAUUUGUGCAUUAGGUGACCGGCUCUACAAUAGCGUCCCUAGACCCAUUUAACAUGACAGCCAAUAAACUUUUAAAAUCAACAGUAUAAAAAAUGAUAUAAAAAAACUAAAUUAAAUUUUUUUUUUCCACGUUACUAGAUAUGAGAGCUGAGAUUAUGCAUUCCUCAAAAUUUUGAGUCUAAAACCUAUCUCUAAAAUAGAUUUUAGAGAGAAGACUCAUUUGAAUCGAUGAGUUGGCUUACUCAUAGAAACGUUGUAUUAGAAUGUAAUCUUAUGUUCUAAAAUUGAAUAUGUCGCUUUCUUUAUAUUAUCAUAUUCUCGUAAUAUUACUAUUGUUUGUUGGACCUAAUCACCAGUACGCUUGCGUAAACUUUUUAUUCACCUUUAAUAUCAAAAUUAUCUGAGAAAUUUCAGAAUUGGUUUAAAAUCUAACAUGUACAUGAGUAGUUUUAAAAAUCUGAAUCUGCC
rnacentral:lncRNA from 1 species